UACACUGGACAAGAAAUAUUUUUCACACACAAACACAUGAAGGAAGAUAUUCAUAUUUCGAAAAUGAAGCAACUGAAAAUGAAUACCGAACUAAACCAGACCUGAUUGUAACAAUUCAUCUUCGAGGCGGCCUUCUCAAUCUCAAGACAUCCAAGGCACAUAGCUUGGCUUGGAUAGACCUAUCUGUCUUUGCAACGCCGUAUAGAAUCACCUGGGACUACUAUUUCUCUGCCCUAGAUCAUACUUUGAACUCUGAUUCAUGGGAAGAGACAGCUGAGUUGGGUUAUGUAAGGCCUUUGAUUAGUUCUCUCCUUGUAACGUGAUGAGAACGAGAAGGUAAAACAUUUGUUAGCAUUAGUGGUUUAACAUUGAAGGAUACUUCAAAGUAGCUUUACAUCCUGAUAUUCAGCUGGAUCGAUACUCUAUCACGUAACUACCAACCUCCCCUUGAUGCUCACUUGGUAAUUUCUGUCAUGUCUAUUCGGACUCGUGUACAACCUGCAUAUGCUGUUAAUAUGUGGAACGAGGCACUCAAUAAACGACGGCUCGGUACAGAGGAACUGGAUUUGUGUAUGGGAUUCUUGAAGAAACAAUGAGACGUGAAAUGUCAUUUGAUGAGGGAUGUUCCGCAACCCGUAGACACUUCCGUAGUUUUCCGCAACCCAUAGGCCCGUAGUCACUUCCGUAGCUUUCCGCAAUCCUUAGGCCCGUAGUCACCCCUGGCCCGAAACCAGCCGUUACUAAUAUCCAUUACCCAAGGGCCCAGCACCAACGCCGCGCUUAAAUUUAAACUUGGGGAGGGCGUAAAGCAUUUCGUGGCCACAAGGGGUAUUCGAACCUGGGUCCUUAUCGGCGUUGGAUUUUUAAGCAUUUCGUGGCCACAAGCCGUUACUAGUACCCAUUAUCUGAUUUUUAUUAAAUAUAAGUUGUUUUGAACUAAUGAAUUUGUGUUACAAAAAAAAAAUUAUGACUUACAACUGUAAAUUAAUUAAUUUCAGUCAGUUUUGGACUCAUGU